CUAGCUCUUUGCUAGUUUUCUGCAUGCUAAAUGAAUAAGCCUUUCUAAUUUAUAAUCCGUUUACAUACAUACUAGCUUUACUUGCUAGUGGUUCCUGGUGGUUUUUUAAAUGCCUGCUACUACAACACCUAUCAAACGUUCAUUUUACUCCCAUUUUUUCAGCUUGGUUGUCCAGAGUUACAAGAGGCUCCCAGCAACAAGGCCUUGACCAAGUCUGCAACAGAAAGCCAUGAUUUUCCCUGAACAGAAAGUACUACUUCUGAAUCUGAAGACUACAACAAACGCACACAGCAGAAAUUCCUGCCUCAAGAGCUGGAAUGAUUCUGGAAGAAGCAGGAAUCCGAGGAUCAAAGCUGCACUUUGAACAAGAUCCUGGGAUUGGUCACCACAGAACUUCUACUAGCACUCAGCUGUCCAAAUAUGAACGCUUGCGGUAUCUUUGAAGGGCUCCGUCACCAGAAACCAUAUUGAACGUUCUCUGGCCAAGUUUUAAAAGAUGCACAUCAAAGGAAUCCCGCACACUGUGGGCAUGCAGCGCAAUGGAGAGGAGACUGAUGGAACUAUAUGCCAGGCUGGACCAGCUCGAAAGGCGCUGAGCUGGCAAAGUGUUACUUUCUUAUUUGCCCUCACUUUUCAUCCCUUUAUUCUGUCACAUUACCAGUUUUGGUUUUGUGGAUGAGGGUUUGUUUCUGUGUGCUCUAACAGAAAAUAUCCCCCUUUUAAAAGCAAGUACUUGGUGUGGUUUUUCUUUUAUUAUGGGAUGAGUGCAUGAUGGACCCCCUCCCCGCUUAAAAAAAAUCCUGAAUUUUGUUGCACAAUCUGAUGCACAACAAUCCCAGCACCCUGCUUGUUUUUCCUCGUGCGACACUCUACUAGUGCAAAACAUUUUGCCUGCAGAACGAGGAACCCACUAAGUGACUUUUGCUUAGUGCUGCGUUGCACACUACACACACACUCCAAGAGUUCCUAUUUUGCUUUUCCUAAUCGUUGAUAACCAUGACAGAUCUUUUCUUCCUGCAUUAAAACCAGAGGCAGAGUCUGCUUUUGUAUCUGCACAAAGUUCAUUUUAAGAGCGUUCAAGAAAAGAACUAUCCCACCUCCCAGAAGAGAGACUCGGACCCUGGAUUCCUGCACAGGUCUACAACGCAAAGAGUCGACUUCUCCAAGGGCAGGGCGACCCUCAUCCCUGAUGAGGACUGACUGAAUAAUCCCAUCACACCCCACACGGAGGCGGCAAGACUGCUUGCCUCAGAGAGGAUCUCAUUCCUUAGAGAGAGGUGUGUCCAGCUCACAGACUUUCUUUAGGUUUUAAACAUUUCAAGCAUUUAUUUUUCACAACACACUUGCAUGCCACAGUACUCCAUUUGGAAACUACUACCCUAUUUUGUUUUAGGACCCAUCCCUGCCGAAUGCUGAAGACGCACCGCUGUACCCUGGCAUUUGACACUUGAGAUUUAUCUUUUUUAGGAUGCACCUCGAUCCUUGCGACUGUCAUCUGUUUUAAAUGUGGUCUUUUAAAUUAUUGUGAUGCCCCCUAGGGCCGUAGGGAAAGGGGUGGGUAAUUAUUAUUAUUAGUAGUAGUAGUAAUAAUAAUAAAAAUAAA